CUGGUGCCCAGAAGUUUCAGCUCACACUUGGCCUGGAACCAGGGGGAACUGAGUGGAGGGGCAGUUUCUCUGUGGACUUGGAAUUUAUAAAUCUGCAGUUCUCCCUCUAGAGGUUGAUAUUAUCACCAGACCAUGGGCCAGCAAGGACCGGGGGACCUGGUCAGGAUUAGUCCUCGGAGGCAGUAGACCAGCACUCACAGAUCCCCAUCUUUGACAGCAUUGGAGAAGCUAGAAUUACAUUAUUUUUCAAAAGGACAAAGUAACAAAAGAGCUGGCUGACUGAUAUGUGCAGUAGGUAAAUUUUUCAUCUUUAGUAAUUCUGGAUCCUCAUUCAAUGAUUUCAUUUUUUUAGAUAUUUGUGAUCAAUAUUACACCAUUUCCCAACAGUGGUUUCCAGUCCAAUAUGGCUGGUUUUCUUAUAAGAAGAGGAAAUGAGGAUACAGAAAACAUAGACAGAGGAAUGGCCGUGUGAUGACACAGGGAGAAGGGAGCCAUCUGCAAACCAAGGAGAGAGGCCUCAGAAGAAACCAACCCUGCUGACACUUCAAUGUUGAACUUCUUCUAGUCUCCAGAACUGUGAGAAAAUAAACUUCUAUUGUUU
rnacentral:lncRNA from 1 species